rnacentral:rRNA from 1 species
UACGUAGGGGGCUAGCGUUGUCCGGAUUUAUUGGGUUUAAAGGGUGCGUCGGCGGUCUAUUAAGUCAGUGCUGAAAUAUCCCGGCUUAACCGGGAGGGUGGCAUUGAUACUGAUGGACUUGAGUAAAGUUGAGGUUGGCGGAAUUGACGGUGUAGCGGUGAAAUGCUUAGAUAUCGUCAAGAACACCUAUUGCGAAGGCAGCUAACUAAGCUUAAACUGACGCUGAGGCACGAAAGCGUGGGGAGCAAACAGG